rnacentral:sRNA from 1 species
CAAUCUCUGUAUCAACAACAGAUUCCAGGGUGGGCAGAAAAUCCUUACAGACUCUGGACUGGAGCCUGGGAGUGGGAGGUGGUGAGGAGAGGAGCCCUUUGCUUCCAUCCUAGCCCUGUAGUGUAGAAUCCAUAUCUACCACCCUACCCUCUCUGACUCUCCCAAGUACCCUCGGGCCUUUAAUGCCUUGCUGGUCAACUCCCUCUGGGUGGGUUAAUGCCAACCUACGGCUGCAAAGGAGCCUUCCAACUUCUGCAGAGAGUGGUUGAGAAGCUGUCGGCCCUUCUUCCAGAGUCUCAUGAACCCAUGCCAAUCUAGCACCAUCAGAAACACUGGGUAUUCACAACUCAAGUCUACCAAUUACAUACAGCAGUGGUGAUCCAGAGAUCGAACCCAGGACCCCAUGGCCAUCCCCAAAA